rnacentral:rRNA from 1 species
GACGAACGCUGGCGGCGCGCUUAACACAUGCAAGUCGAGCGAGAACCGGGGCUUCGGCCCUGGGGACAGCGGCGAACGGGUGAGUAACACGUGGGUAAUCCACCCUCGGCACCGGAAUAGCCCGGGGAAACCCGGAUUAAUGCCGGAUGGCCCGCCGGCCCCGAGGGGCUGGCGGAAAAGGUAGCCUCGGCCUCCGGCCGGGGACGAGCCCGCGACGGAUUAGCUUGUUGGGGGGGUAACGGCCUACCAAGGCUGCGAUCCGUAGCUGGUCUGAGAGGACGAUCAGCCACACUGGGACUGAGACACGGCCCAGACUCCUACGGGAGGCAGCAGUGGGGAAUCUUGCGCAAUGGGCGAAAGCCUGACGCAGCGACGCCGCGUGGGGGAAGAAGGCCUUCGGGUUGUAAACCUCUUUCAGGAGGGACGAAGCCACUCGGGUUAAUAGCCCAGAGGGUGACGGUACCUCCAGAAGAAGCCCCGGCUAACUACGUGCCAGCCGCCGCGGUAACAC